UACGUAGGUGGCGAGCGUUGUCCGGAUUUACUGGGCGUAAAGAGCGCGCAGGCGGUCGUACAAGUCGCGUGUGAAAGCCCCCGGCUCAACUGGGGAGGGUCACGCGAUACUGUUCGACUCGAAGGCAGGAGAGGGAAGUGGAAUUCCCGGUGUAGUGGUGAAAUGCGUAGAUAUCGGGAGGAACACCAGUGGCGAAGGCGACUUUCUGGCCUGUUCUUGACGCUGAGGCGCGAAAGCUAGGGUAGCAAACGGG
rnacentral:rRNA from 1 species